UUGCAGUAAUAGGGAAUCAAUCUAGCGGCUUACAGCUCACUGAUUUAUAAUGUUAGUGGAGCUUGAAUGGAGAUGAGAGAUGCAAAAUAGUCAUCAUUCAUAACGUAAAUUACAUGGGGCUCCUGUUCUCCAGAGAGAAAAAUCUAUAGAAAAACUCAGUAGGCCAGGCAGGCUAUGGACUAGGCUAGAAAUACUGCACUAACACUGGCAGCAGCAUGGUCAUUUAUGGCAAACCUGUUCUUGGUGUCUAUAUACUCUGUUGAUCCUCCAUCUUUGUACUGUAUCUCCCCAGUCAAUGUUACAUUUCUGAAAGGUUUGUGAUGGAUAUUUGGAUUGGAGCAUUGCUGGGACUGGGAUGACUUACCAUAGCUUGUGUGAUGUGUUCUGUCCUCUCUUUCUCUCUGCCCUACACAAACCCUCCAAGCAUGUCCUCAACAGCAUGCUACAGGAGUCAUCUUUGAUUCCAGACCAGUCUUUAGCCCCUCACGUCUACCAGUGCACAAUAAAUGACUGCUGUUAUGGACCACUGGUAGACUGCAUCAAACAGUAUCCUUUCCCAUAAAAUGUUAAGCCUGAAAUUGACGAGCAGCUAUUGAAGGGGAUGAGAUGUCUGGCAUCACCUGACAUAAAAGUUCUGCUUCUGAGGGGAGGUGUUUCAUCCUGCCUGCACCCUGCCAUCCUCGUUGCAGGGGGUGGAAGAGAGGAUGAGGCUGAUGCAAAUGCAUCUCUCUUGUUCACAGAGUGAAUCAGACCCAAUGUUCUAUGCCACAGGAAGAGGACAGGCAUGUUAUUCACAGCCAUUUUUAUUUUCUUCCGGUGGGUUAUGUGGCUCUUAAAAUUUGUCAACUCCAAUCACAAUAGAACAAAGGGAUAGACAGGGGGCUACUGGUUUUUUUAAGUCUAAGUUUAAGAUGCAUUAUAAAGGUUUUGUGUAAUUUCAGCCAACAGUUUUGAAAGUACCGCUCACGAGCCAAAACGGGUCCCCAAAAAUUAUGCUCAAUUGUGUACAACGUCACCCAUUUUGAAUGAUAUGUUGCAUUCUCCAAACAACAAAUAAUUGUAUAUUAUGUUACGAAUUCCAAUUUGUACAACAUGUUAUGAAUUUGUAAGCGCUUAAGAUCCCUUUAAAUGUCUUUAAGCAAAGUUGGAAUUGUUUUGGUCCCCUGAAAAUGUGAGUGUAUGAGUGAGCAGCAAUGGACUACAUUUAAUAUGGUUUAGGAAAAUAUUACUGUCUGGCAUUAGAAAGAUGUACUCUACUGCCAUUAUGCUCAGUUGACCAUUUCCCUGUUAGCCUGUCUGCUCAGUGAAGAGACCAGUCUGAGAGUUAUCAGCACCAUGGAGAGUUCUUGGCAUGUCACUGCCACAUGAAAUACAGCCCUCAUAGCUACUACUCUCUCUACUCUUACUCUUUCUCUCUUGGUCACUCUCUUUUCUCGCAGGUCUCUCUCUCUCUCUCUCUGUCGGUCAGUCUAGCAGUGCAGACCUAGUGAUCAGAGGGCUGGAGAUGGGAAGUCAUAGGCUGUCAAUGCCGGGUCCGGGUCAUCACCAUCAGCACUUC
rnacentral:lncRNA from 1 species